rnacentral:rRNA from 1 species
CUACGUGCCAGCAGCCGCGGUAAUACGGAGGAUGCGAGCGUUAUCCGGAUUUAUUGGGUUUAAAGGGUGCGUAGGCGGCCUGUUAAGUCAGCGGUGAAAUCUAGGAGCUUAACUCCUAAAUUGCCAUUGAUACUGGCGGGCUUGAGUGUAGAUGAGGUAGGCGGAAUGCGUGGUGUAGCGGUGGAAUGCAUAGAUAUCACGCAGAACUCCGAUUGCGAAGGCAGCUUACUAAGGUACAACUGACGCUGAAGCACGAAAGCGUGGGUAUCAAACAGGAUUAGAUACCCUGGUAGUCCACGCAGUAAACGAUGAUAACUGGGCGUAUGCGAUAUACAGUAUGCUCCUAAGCGAAAGCGUUAAGUUAUCCACCUGGGGAGUACGCCGGCAACGGUGAAACUCAAAGGAAUUGACGGGGGCCCGCACAAGCGGAGGAACAUGUGGUUUAAUUCGAUGAUACGCGAGGAACCUUACCCGGGCUUGAA